ensembl:lncRNA
AUGUUCCUACAGUCCUAUGUUCCCAUAGCCCUAUGUUCCCACAGCCCUAUGUUCCCACAGCCCAAUGGUCCCACAGGCCUAUGUUCCCACAGCCCUAUGUUCCCACAGCCCUAUGUUCCUACAGCCCUAUGUUCCCACAGCCCUAUGUUCCUACAGCCCCAUGUUCCCACAGCCCUAUGUUCCCACAGCCCUAUGUUCCCACAGCCCUAUGUUCCUACAGCCCUAUGUUCCCACAGCCCUAUGUUCCCACAGCCCUAUGUUCCCACAGCCCUAUGGUCCCACAGCCCUAUGUUCCUACAGUCCUAUGUUCCCACAGCCCAAUGGUCCCACAGCCUAUGUUCCUACAGUCCUAUGUUCCUACAGCCCUAUGUUCCCACAGCCCUAUGUUCCCACAGCCCUAUGUUCCUACAGCCCUAUGUUCCUACAGCCCUAUGUUCCCACAGCCCUAUGGUCCCACAGCCCUAUGUUCCCACAGCCCUAUGUUCCCACAGCCCUAUGUUCCCACAGUCCUAUGUUCCCACAGCCCUAUGUUCCCACAGUCCUAUGUUCCCACAGCCCUAUGUUCCUACAGUCCUAUGUUCCCACAGCCCUAUGUUCCCACAGCCCUAUGUUCCCACAGCCCAAUGGUCCCACAGCCCUAUGUUCCUACAGGCCUAUGUUCCCACAGCCCUAUGUUCCUACAGCCCUAUGUUCCCACAGCCCUAUGUUCCCACAGCCCUAUGUUCCCACAGCCCAAUGGUCCCACAGCCCUAUGUUCCCACAGGCCUAUGUUCCCACAGCCCUAUGUUCCUACAGCCCUAUGUUCCCACAGCCCUAUGUUCCUACAGCCCUAUGUUCCCACAGCCCUAUGUUCCUACAGCCCCAUGUUCCCACAGCCCCAUGUUCCCACAGCCCUAUGUUCCCACAGCCCUAUGUUCCUACAGCCCUAUGUUCCCACAGCCCUAUGUUCCCACAGCCCUAUGUUCCCACAGCCCUAUGGUCCCACAGCCCUAUGUUCCUACAGUCCUAUGUUCCCACAGCCCAAUGGUCCCACAGCCUAUGUUCCUACAGCCCUAUGUUCCCACAGCCCUAUGUUCCCACAGCCCUAUGUUCCCACAGCCCUAUGUUCCCACAGCUCUAUGUUCCUACAGCCCAAUGUUCCCACAGCCCUAUGUUCCUACAGUCCUAUGUUCCCACAGCCCAAUGGUCCCACAGCCCUAUGUUCCCACAGGCCUAUGUUCCCACAGCCCUAUGUUCCUACAGCCCUAUGUUCCCACAGCCCUAUGUUCCUACAGCCCUAUGUUCCCACAGCCCUAUGUUCCCACAGCCCUAUGUUCCCACAGCCCAAUGGUCCCACAGCCCUAUGUUCCCACAGGCCUAUGUUCCCACAGCCCUAUGUUCCUACAGCCCUAUGUUCCCACAGCCCUAUGUUCCUACAGCCCUAUGUUCCCACAGCCCUAUGUUCCUACAGCCCCAUGUUCCCACAGCCCCAUGUUCCCACAGCCCUAUGUUCCCACAGCCCUAUGUUCCUACAGCCCUAUGUUCCCACAGCCCUAUGUUCCCACAGCCCUAUGUUCCCACAGCCCUAUGGUCCCACAGCCCUAUGUUCCUACAGUCCUAUGUUCCCACAGCCCAAUGGUCCCACAGCCUAUGUUCCUACAGCCCUAUGUUCCCACAGCCCUAUGUUCCCACAGCCCUAUGUUCCCACAGCCCUAUGUUCCCACAGCUCUAUGUUCCUACAGCCCAAUGUUCCCACAGCCCUAUGUUCCUACAGUCCUAUGUUCCCACAGCCCAAUGGUCCCACAGCCCUAUGUUCCCACAGGCCUAUGUUCCCACAGCCCUAUGUUCCUACAGCCCUAUGUUCCCACAGCCCUAUGUUCCCACAGCCCUAUGUUCCCACAGCCCUAUGUUCCCACAGCUCUAUGUUCCUACAGCCCAAUGUUCCCACAGCCCUAUGUUCCUACAGUCCUAUGUUCCCACAGCCCAAUGGUCCCACAGCCCUAUGUUCCCACAGGCCUAUGUUCCCACAGCCCUAUGUUCCUACAGCCCUAUGUUCCCACAGCCCUAUGUUCCCACAGCCCUAUGUUCCCACAGUCCUAUGUUCCCACAGCCCUAUGUUCCCACAGCCCUAUGGUCCCACAGCCCUAUGUUCCCACAGCCCUAUGUUCCCACAGCCCUAUGUUCCUACAGUCCUAUGUUCCCACAGCCCUAUGUUCCCACAGCCCUAUGGUCCCACAGCCCUAUGGUCCCACAGCCCUAUGUUCCCACAGCCCUAUGGUCCCACAGCCCUAUGUUCCCACAUUUCCUUUUUCAUAUAUUUGUAUCAGAUUGUAUCCCCCUAACCCUAACCCUAACAAAUGUUGUGGGAGGAUAGGGCUUAAAUUGAAGGGAAAUGUAGAAACACAUGACCUAAUUUUGAAAAUGUCCUAG